AAGGAAAUGGCAGAGUGGUUAUGCGGCUGGCUUGAAACCAGCACAUGGGGGUUCAAUUCCCCCUUUCCUCG
rnacentral:tRNA from 1 species